UAAUACCUGCAGCUCAAGUGGUGAUCAUUAUUAUUGGGCCUAAAACGUCCGUAGCCGGUUUGGUAAAUGCCUGGGUAAAUCGUGUAGCUUAACUAUACGAAUUCCGGGUAGACUGCCAAACUUGGGACCGGGAGAGGCUAGAGGUACUCCUGGGGUAGAGGUGAAAUUCUGUAAUCCUAGGGGGACCACCAGUGGCGAAGGCGUCUAGCUAGAACGGGUCUGACGGUCAGGGACGAAGCCCUGGGGCGCGAACCGGAUUAGAUACCCGGGUAGUCCAGGGUGUAAACGCUGCUUGCUUGAUGUUAGUUGGGCUCCGAGCCCAAUUAGUGUCGGAGAGAAGUUGUUAAGCAAGCUGCCUGGGAAGUACGGUCGCAA
rnacentral:rRNA from 1 species